CCUACGGGAGGCAGCAGUGAGGAAUAUUGGUCAAUGGCCGAGAGGCUGAACCAGCCAAGUCGCGUGAGGGAAGACGGCCCUACGGGUUGUAAACCUCUUUUGUCGGGGAGCAAAGCGAACCACGUGUGGUUCAUUGAGAGUACCCGAAGAAAAAGCAUCGGCUAACUCCGUGCCAGCAGCCGCGGUAAUACGGAGGAUGCGAGCGUUAUCCGGAUUUAUUGGGUUUAAAGGGUGCGCAGGCGGAGGUGCAAGUCAGCGGUCAAAUUGCGGGGCUCAACCCCGUACUGCCGUUGAAACUGCAUCCCUUGAGUGCGCGAGAAGUAUGCGGAAUGCGUGGUGUAGCGGUGAAAUGCAUAGAUAUCACGCAGAACACCGAUUGCGAAGGCAGCAUACCGGGUCGCUACUGACGCUGAGGCACGAAAGCGUGGGUAUCGAACAGGAUUAGAUACCCCUGUAGUC
rnacentral:rRNA from 1 species